rnacentral:snRNA from 1 species
GUGCUCACUUUGGCAGCACUUAUACUAAAAUUGAAACGAUACAGAGAUUAGCAUGGCCCCUGCGCAUGGAUGACAUGCAAAUUCGUGAAGCAUUCCAUAUUUUU